rnacentral:lncRNA from 1 species
UUAUUCUUCAACUUCAACAACAAUAAUCAAAGGCCAAUCAUUGUAGGACACAUCAUCAACAAGAAUCAAGUUCUUGGAAAUCAUAGUUAAAUAUUUCUUUUUAUCCAUUAGUUUCUUUUUAUUGACUCUUAUACUAGUUGGCAACUAGUAAGAAUCUACUAAGUUGUGAACUAGUUUUUGAGUACUUCUUUUGUGUUAGCUUUACUUGUGG